GAUGGUACCAGGGGAUUCCAGACACUAUAACCAGUUUAAAGAGAUGAAACAGAUACAGUACCAACGGUGUCCAUUUAAGUAAAUUUGUCAUGUAUAUAAACUGCAUGCAUUCAGAUACAGAUUUAGUACAAUUUGUAGCAGAUAUAGAUUUACAAACAAUAAAAAAAAUCCAUACUAAAAAUUAAGUACAAUUUGUCAAUUUAAAUUUUUUGGGCAAUACUAUCAGAUACCAGAAAGGUUCUACUUGUAUUUAUUGUUUUUGUUUAGUGUGAACCAACCCCAAUGUAAAGUAUCGAGACUCAGCAUGCAGGGACCUUGUAAUAAUACUUGAGAUUAUCUUAAUCUCUUGAUUUGUAGCUAACCAUGAUGCAGGCCUCACCCACUGCUGAAGCAGCUCACUGUGUUUAGCUUUACGAGAUCAUUGGUGCUCAUCUCAUGUCCGGUGUGUUCCUUGCUAUUAUCAUAGUUGUGAAGAGUCUGCUUAAGAAGCCACAAAUGUGCAAAAUAUUACCCUUUACUCUCCAAGGCUCUCCCCUCAUGUUAAUGUGUUUAAAAGAUCACUCUUGGCACCAUGACCACUUCAGUAACGUGUAUGUUUAGCAUUUAAUUUUUACGUAAAACACUUUGCAUCACAGCAGGAGGAUCAAGCUGAAGGGAGAACUUGUACCCAUCAUUGGAUUGUAGUUAAAGCUUUAAUUCUAUUUAUUUAUUUUUCAGGGUGGGGUGGGAUUGGGCCAACAAACAAAACAUUGUUUUUAGUUAGAGUAACACUGUAAUGGAAUGUUUGUCUUAAUUUUACUCGGUGCUGUCGAACAUUUAAAAAAUCAUUACUGUAUUUUUGUAUAGUCUUUCUUACAAUGUAAAUAUGGUUUAUGAAUAAUUGUAUGCAUGCAUGCCAUGUUACAGGCGUUAAAAGUCAAUACAUAAAGCCAGUGGCUGAGGUCAAUUACCUACAUGCCUUAGUGUAUGGCCUCUGUACCUGGAAUGUUAAACAUUAUGUAAAUCCUGCCUUUGUAAUCAAGCAGUAACUAUAAUAUUGGUGUUCACCCUAUGUCAGGUAUCUUCUUCUCAAUAGGUUUCAAGUCUGCUUAAGAAGUCGCUCAUGUGCAAGAUAUAGCCCUUUCCUCUUUAUAGUGGUCAGUACCCAGCCUAAUUGUGUUCAGUCUUCUCCAGUAUCAUGGGACAAACCAUUUUGCAACAGUUACUUUUACCUUAACAUUACCAUGGUUUUGGGGAGCGCAGGGUAACAACAAACAGCUUCUGUAGAGAAGCAGACAAAUGCCGAUACAGCUGCUCAUGCAUUGGCUGAGUGUCAGUUGAUUACUCUAAGCCAAAGAAUGAGGGUCUGCACAUGGAAGCAUUCACAGAACCAACAUUAGCCAGCGAAGAUCUCUGGUUCUGGGCUAGCUAAUGAUGGUCCAUUGGCACUGUCAGAGGCAGAGUUACACCUCCAGCAGCAGGUUUAACUCAUACCUCAAACAUUGCAUAUACAGACUUCAUGCACCAUAACCACUUCAUAUAAUUGAAGUUUCAAUGGUGCUUGGAGUAACACUUGCAAAACUGUAUUUUCUCAAUUUCUUUUGCAUAUUUUAGAAAAUGUUGAUAUUAUAACAUAGUUUUGUUCUUAUUGAAGACUAGUUAGAAAUAAACCAGGUGCAUGUUAUUCGAAGCCCUACCUUAUAUUAUGUUACGUCACAAUAUCUCAAGCCAAGGUUUAGUAUAAAACUUUGUCCACUCCUAACAACUUAAAAUCUAUAGCGGUAAUGCUAAUUCCAUAAUUAUAUAUCUCAAUUGGUUCUUGCAUUAUGCUAAUUUUACAUGGGUGCACUGCCCUUUGCACAUAACCUACAUACAUUGAUCAAUUUCUUUAAUGUGCCACUAAUUGAACAGUGUUCUACCCAGUAAUGUACUAAUGGGGGAAAAGUCAGUUUGCCAUUAUGUCUCUUAUUAUUCCAAUCUUUGAAUUAUCUCUCUCUUUCAGAUGACACAAAUAAGUUGGAAAUAUAUAAGAUAAUAAGGUAUUAAUUAUCUUUUUGAUGAUAGGGAGUGGCGGUGUGACACGUUAUAAAAACCGAACUCUGAGAUACAAAGAAAUGUAUGUUUUUACAGCUUGUCCCAGUGGUGUGUUUGGUAAUUACAUGUAGGUGAUCCAAAGCUUACAAAAAUGUCUUCAUUUUGUUCAUUAACUCUCCAUUGCAGGUUCAUUUCAAUGGGCUUUAGUGCUAAUUCAGCUCCUAGAUGUGGAAUGUGACUUGAGUCCAGGCAGUGGUGUAUCCUGGUUUUGUGCUGCCCUAGGCAGGACAAAACUCAGGCGCCCGCCCCGCCUUCUAAAUACACACACACACAUUCACUGACAGAUACGCAUACACACGCUAACAGACACACACACACACACACUCUAACAGACACACAGUAACAGACACACAC